UGAGAACUUGAAUGGAAGUCAACGGGGCCACGAGCUGCACAUAAAAGGGGGGUCGCGGAGCAGGCGUCCAACACACAAGGUCAAAGGACCCUGAAGCAUGAAGACUCUGCUGCCUCUCCUCCUCCUGGUGUGCUGCCGGUGCCUCAUCAUCACCAGCGGACUGGUCGCACCGUCGCAGCCGAGAGAAGGAUGCUGCAAGCGCCACAGCCAGAGAAAGAUCCACAUAAACAGGGUGACCGACAUGAGGGGGUCCGGGAGUGGCUGUAGACCCAAAUCCGUGAUAAUCACAACUGUAUUCAAGGAGUUGUGUUUUGAUCCUGAGUUGGACUGGGUGAAGACACUGUGGGCAAGCUUAAGGAAGCCACCUGGCACUUUACAGAAGCUGUGAGAACGCUGUUCCUUUGUGUGUCACCGUGACAUUCAGAUCAGAAGACGGAUGCCCUUGAAUGACCUUGUGACCCUGGAAGGUUUAAUGUGAAAUGGCUUGAGCUUUCAAAUGUCUUGUAUAAUACAUCACAUGUUUAGCGUUGCCACAUGAAUGAGCCAAAUAUAUGCGGUCUCAUUUUAAUAUUAAUAACAGGAAGGUGUAUUAUUGCAACAAAAGGCUCAGACCCUUUCUGAAUAAAAGCUUUAUUGUGGUAUUAAA